rnacentral:rRNA from 1 species
GAUUCCUACGGGAGGCAGCAGUGGGGAAUAUUGGACAAUGGGCGAAAGCCUGAUCCAGCAACGCCGCGUGAGGGAUGACGGCCUUCGGGUUGUAAACCUCUUUCAUCCAUGACGAAGCGCAAGUGACGGUAAUGGAAGAAGAAGGACCGGCCAACUACGUGCCAGCAGCCGCGGUAAUACGUAGGGUCCGAGCGUUGUCCGGAAUUAUUGGGCGUAAAGGGCUCGUAGGCGGUUUGUCACGUCGGGAGUGAAAACACGGGGCUUAACCCCGUGCCUGCUUCCGAUACGGGCAGACUAGAGGUAUGCAGGGGAGAACGGAAUUCCUGGUGUAGCGGUGAAAUGCGCAGAUAUCAGGAGGAACACCGGUGGCGAAGGCGGUUCUCUGGGCAUUACCUGACGCUGAGGAGCGAAAGUGUGGGGAGCGAACAGGAUUAGAUACCCUGGUAGUCCACACCGUAAACGUUGGGCGCUAGGUGUGGGACUCAUUCCACGAGUUCCGUGCCGCAGCUAACGCAUUAAGCGCCCCGCCUGGGGAGUACGGCCGCAAGGCUAAAACUCAAAUGAAUUGACGGGG